rnacentral:tRNA from 1 species
ACUUAAAUAGCUUAUUAAGUAGCAUGAUAUUGAAGAUAUUAAGGAGGUAGAUCUUACCUUUAAGUA